ACCGGCGCACGGGUGAGUAACGCGUAUCCAACCUGCCCACCACUUGGGGAUAACCUUGCGAAAGUAAGACUAAUACCCAAUGACGUCUCUAGAAGACAUCUGAAAGGGAUUAAAGAUUUAUCGGUGAUGGAUGGGGAUGCGUCUGAUUAGCUUGUUGGCGGGGUAACGGCCCACCAAGGCGACGAUCAGUAGGGGUUCUGAGAGGAAGGUCCCCCACAUUGGAACUGAGACACGGUCCAAACUCCUACGGGAGGCAGCAGUGAGGAAUAUUGGUCAAUGGACGAGAGUCUGAACCAGCCAAGUAGCGUGCAGGAAGACGGCCCUAUGGGUUGUAAACUGCUUUUAUAAGGGAAUAAAGUGAGUCUCGUGAGACUUUUUGCAUGUACCUUAUGAAUAAGGACCGGCUAAUUCCGUGCCAGCAGCCGCGGUAAUACGGAAGGUCCGGGCGUUAUCCGGAUUUAUUGGGUUUAAAGGGAGCGUAGGCCGGAGAUUAAGCGUGUUGUGAAAUGUAGACGCUCAACGUCUGCACUGCAGCGCGAACUGGUUUCCUUGAGUACGCACAAAGUGGGCGGAAUUCGUGGUGUAGCGGUGAAAUGCUUAGAUAUCACGAAGAACUCCGAUUGCGAAGGCAGCUCACU
rnacentral:rRNA from 1 species